ACGAAAAUUGCUUAGUGUUCUUCCUUUGUGUGGAGGUGCUACCGGUGAAGGUGUAAGGCUUGUUGGCCGAUUGUGGUGCCGGCGAGAGCAACGUCCCCUUUGUGAUUCUUCGUGGCUUAGUGUGUGCGUGAUCGAGAGGAAGAGAGCUGUACCUGAGCCGAGAAGAUCGACGCCCCUUGUUCCUCUCUUUGUGUGUUUUUCCUUGCAGGUUGUCGAGGCUGCUGCUACCUCGUUGCUGCGCCGCUGUUGCUGCUGCGUUGUUGCCGGAGGACAGCCGCCGCUGCUGCUGCCCCUGCCGCCGCCGUCCCUGCUGCUGUUCCGCCGCUGUGUUGCCGCUGCUUUGCUGCCCCGGAGAAGGAAGCCUUCAACAACGACGACGAGGGUCGAUACUCAACAGUGGUAUCAGAGCCACGGUUGACCUCGUCGUCGCAUUGGUAAGUCGGGGUCCUGACCUUAGGAUCCCGCUCUGGUAAAGCGGCUUAAACCUCUCUUGUUUUUCAAUUUCUAGUUGCUGCCAUCUGGUGCAGUUUAGGCUUGGUGCUUAUCUGCUGGUAGAUAUCUAGGAUUCGUGUGUCGAAUUCUGUUUUCUGUUUUAUUUUUUUUUUCCGCU
rnacentral:lncRNA from 1 species